rnacentral:rRNA from 1 species
GACGAACGCUGGCGGCGUGCUUAACACAUGCAAGUCGAACGAUGAAGCUAGAGCUUGCUCUGGUGAAUUAGUGGCGAACGGGUGAGUAACACGUGAGUAACCUGCCCCGAACUCUGGGAUAACUGCUGGAAACGGUAGCUAAUACUGGAUACGACCUACGAAGGCAUCUUCUGUAGGCGGAAAGAAUUUCGGUUCGGGAUGGACUCGCGGCCUAUCAGCUUGUUGGUGAGGUAAUGGCCCGCCAAGGCGACGACGGGUAGCCGGCCUGAGAGGGUGACCGGCCACACUGGGACUGAGACACGGCCCAGACUCCUACGGGAGGCAGCAGUGGGGAAUAUUGCACAAUGGGCGCAAGCCUGAUGCAGCAACGCCGCGUGAGGGAUGACGGCCUUCGGGUUGUAAACCUCUUUUAGUAGGGAAGAAGCGAAAGUGACGGUACCUGCAGAAAAAGCACCGGCUAACUACGUGCCAGCCGCCGCGGUAA